CCAAACGCCGUUUGGGGGACGCGACUGGAGAUGCUCUCAUAUCGCCAUCGCCAAACCCUAGGGUGAAACCUAAGACCUAAGAUUUGUUGAGAUGGACGAGGUCGCGGAGCCAAGGAGAGGUGUUGCGGACUCACCGCGAGCUUGCAGGUGGACAAGGCAGAAGAUGUCGAGGUUCUGGAAGUGGUUGAUGUUGCAGCCACGGGUAUUGCGGUGAUCAGCAACAGGGCAUCUCACCACAUCUAGAUAACAAUCUCCAUGACGUUGUAUGAAUGGAAGAAGGUGCAGAACAGUGACAACUCAUUCUUCUCUUACCUAUAUAUGUGAGGGAAGCAUCGGCAAAAUCAUGAGGAGUGUAGAAGACUGUUGUUGCACCACGGAAGGAUGAGGAUCCAAGGUAUACCGCCCGCUCAUUUGCUUAUAAUGCAUUUCCUUACCAUCGUUGUGUCAGCCAGAGCAUUAAUCACGGUAAAGGUUGAGUAACAAUUUUGGUAUAUGUUGAUUCUAUAUAGUUGCAGUAUGAGCUCUGAAUCCCAUGACACAGAGCCCGCAUGAUUUCGGUCAGAGGCAAGUCUAUGGGUGGGGCUUUAUUUCUCCGUUCUCGAAUUAAUUAUAUGAUUCUCUC